GGGGGUGACGCCUAUACCUCCCCGGACAAUGGAGAUGACACCCGCUCCCCGAGUCACGGGGAUACCACGGGUACCUCCCAGGCGUCCACUCGACAAUCAACGCGCCGCAAAGAGGCCCAGGGCAGAGUAGGAAGAGAAGGACAGAGUAGAAGGGUGUUGGGACAAAAAAAUUCAUUUUAUUCCAUGUUAUGACUAGUUAUAGAUUUUAUACUGUUUGAGAUGCAGCAUCAGUUUUUGUGUGUUAGAAAAUGCAGAAUUUAGGGAACAGUUCGAUGGAGUGCACGUACUCCGCACGUGCGUGCUUCUUUUCUACUGAAACAUUUGUUAUUUUAAUUUAUAUUUUUAAAAUAUAUUUUUGAAUGCCUUCAACCAGAAGAUGACAAUUAAAAAAUGUUAUAUUGUU